rnacentral:rRNA from 1 species
UACGUAGGGAGCGAGCGUUGUCCGGAAUUACUGGGUGUAAAGGGAGCGUAGGCGGGACGGCAAGUCAGAUGUGAAAACUGAGGGCUCAACCUUCAGACUGCAUUUGAAACUGCUGUUCUUGAGUGAAGUAGAGGUAAGCGGAAUUCCUAGUGUAGCGGUGAAAUGCGUAGAUAUUAGGAGGAACACCAGCGGCGAAGGCGGCUUGCUGGACCGUGAAUGACGCUGAGGCUCGAAAGCGUGGGGAGCAAACAGG